UACGAAGGGGGCGAGCGUUGUUCGGAAUUACUGGGCGUAAAGGGCGCGUAGGCGGCGACCCAAGUCAGAUGUGAAAGUCCUGGGCUUAACCUGGGGACUGCAUUUGAUACUGGGUUGCUUGAAUUCGGGAGAGGAUAGCGGAAUUCCCAGUGUAGAGGUGAAAUGCGUAGAUAUCUGGAGGAACACCGGUGGCGAAGGCGGCAUCCUGGACCGAUACUGACGCUGAGGAGCGAAAGCCAGGGGAGCAAACGGG
rnacentral:rRNA from 1 species